rnacentral:rRNA from 1 species
AGCGGGAAGAGCUCAAAUUUAUAAUCUGGCACCUUCGGUGUCCGAGUUGUAAUCUCUAGAAGUGUUUUCCGCGUUGGACCGCACACAAGUCUGUUGGAAUACAGCGGCAUAGUGGUGAAACCCCCGUAUAUGGUGCGGACGCCCAGCGCUUUGUGAUACACUUUCAAUGAGUCGAGUUGUUUGGGAAUGCAGCUCAAAUUGGGUGGUAAAUUCCAUCUAAAGCUAAAUAUUGGCGAGAGACCGAUAGCGAACAAGUACCGUGAGGGAAAGAUGAAAAGCACUUUGGAAAGAGAGUUAACAGUACGUGAAAUUGUUGGAAGGGAAACGCUUGAAGUCAGACUUGCUUGCCGGAGCUUGCUUCGGUUUGCAGGCCAGCAUCAGUUUUCCGGGGUGGAUAAUGACGGUUUGAAGGUAGCAGUCUCGGCUGUGUUAUAGCUUUCCGUUGGAUACAUCCUGGGGGACUGAGGAACGCAGCGUGCUUUUUGCGAAAGACUCGUCU